rnacentral:rRNA from 1 species
GAUGAACGCUGGCGGCGUGCCUAAUACAUGCAAGUCGAGCGAACAGACGAGGAGCUUGCUCCUCUGACGUUAGCGGCGGACGGGUGAGUAACACGUGGAUAACCUACCUAUAAGACUGGGAUAACUUCGGGAAACCGGAGCUAAUACCGGAUAAUAUAUUGAACCGCAUGGUUCAAUAGUGAAAGACGGUUUUGCUGUCACUUAUAGAUGGAUCCGCGCCGCAUUAGCUAGUUGGUAAGGUAACGGCUUACCAAGGCAACGAUGCGUAGCCGACCUGAGAGGGUGAUCGGCCACACUGGAACUGAGACACGGUCCAGACUCCUACGGGAGGCAGCAGUAGGGAAUCUUCCGCAAUGGGCGAAAGCCUGGCGGAGCAACGCCGCGUGAGUGAUGAAGGUCUUCGGAUCGUAAAACUCUGUUAUUAGGGAAGAACAAAUGUGUAAGUAACUAUGCACGUCUUGACGGUACCUAAUCAGAAAGCCACGGCUAAUUACGUG